rnacentral:rRNA from 1 species
GAUGAACGCUGGCGGCGUGCUUAACACAUGCAAGUCGAACGGGAAUUAUUUUAUUGCAACUUCGGUCGAUUUAAUUUAAUUCUAGUGGCGGACGGGUGAGUAACGCGUGGGUAACCUGCCUUAUACAGGGGGAUAACAGUCAGAAAUGGCUGCUAAUACCGCAUAAGCGCACAGAGCUGCAUGGCUCAGUGUGAAAAACUCCGGUGGUAUAAGAUGGACCCGCGUUGGAUUAGCUGGUUGGUGGGGUAACGGCCCACCAAGGCGACGAUCCAUAGCCGGCCUGAGAGGGUGAACGGCCACAUUGGGACUGAGACACGGCCCAGACUCCUACGGGAGGCAGCAGUGGGGAAUAUUGCACAAUGGGGGAAACCCUGAUGCAGCGACGCCGCGUGAAGGAAGAAGUAUCUCGGUAUGUAAACUUCUAUCAGCAGGGAAGAUAGUGACGGUACCUGACUAAGAAGCCCCGGCUAACUACGU